rnacentral:rRNA from 1 species
UACGAGGGGGGCUAGCGUUGCUCGGAAUCACUGGGCGUAAAGCGCACGUAGGCGGAUUGUUAAGUCAGGGGUGAAAUCCUGGAGCUCAACUCCAGAACUGCCUUUGAUACUGGCGAUCUUGAGUCCGGGAGAGGUGAGUGGAACUGCGAGUGUAGAGGUGAAAUUCGUAGAUAUUCGCAAGAACACCAGUGGCGAAGGCGGCUCACUGGCCCGGUACUGACGCUGAGGUGCGAAAGCGUGGGGAGCAAACAGG